UGGGGAAUAUUGGGCAAUGGGCGAAAGCCUGACCCAGCAACGCCGCGUGAGUGAUGAAGGCCUUCGGGUUGUAAAACUCUUUGGACAGGGACGAAGAAAGUGACGGUACCUGUAGAACAAGCCACGGCUAACUACGUGCCAGCAGCCGCGGUAAUACGUAUGGGGCGAGCGUUGUCCGGAAUUAUUGGGCGUAAAGGGUACGUAGGCGGUUUUUUAAGUCAGGUGUCAAAGCGUGGAGCUUAACUCCAUUAAGCACUUGAAACUGAUAGACUUGAGUGAAGGAGAAGAAAGUGGAAUUCCUAGUGUAGCGGUGAAAUUCGUCGAUAUUAGGAGGAAUACCGGUGGCGAAGGCGACUUUCUGGACUUUUACUGACGCUCAGGUACGAAAGCGUGGGGAGCAAACAGG
rnacentral:rRNA from 1 species